rnacentral:rRNA from 1 species
UUAAAUUGAAGAGUUUGAUCAUGGCUCAGAUUGAACGCUGGCGGCAGGCCUAACACAUGCAAGUCGAACGGUAACAGGAAACAGCUUGCUGUUUCGCUGACGAGUGGCGGACGGGUGAGUAAUGUCUGGGAAACUGCCUGAUGGAGGGGGAUAACUACUGGAAACGGUAGCUAAUACCGCAUAACGUCGCAAGACCAAAGAGGGGGACCUUCGGGCCUCUUGCCAUCGGAUGUGCCCAGAUGGGAUUAGCUAGUAGGUGGGGUAACGGCUCACCUAGGCGACGAUCCCUAGCUGGUCUGAGAGGAUGACCAGCCACACUGGAACUGAGACACGGUCCAGACUCCUACGGGAGGCAGCAGUGGGGAAUAUUGCACAAUGGGCGCAAGCCUGAUGCAGCCAUGCCGCGUGUAUGAAGAAGGCCUUCGGGUUGUAAAGUACUUUCAGCGGGGAGGAAGGGAGUAAAGUUAAUACCUUUGCUCAUUGACGUUACCCGCAGAAGAAGCACCGGCUAACUCCGUGCCAGCAGCCGCGGUAAUACGGAGGGUGCAAGCGUUAAUCGGAAUUACUGGGCGUAAAGCGCACGCAGGCGGUUUGUUAAGUCAGAUGUGAAAUCCCCGGGCUCAACCUGGGAACUGCAUCUGAUACUGGCAAGCUUGAGUCUCGUAGAGGGGGGUAGAAUUCCAGGUGUAGCGGUGAAAUGCGUAGAGAUCUGGAGGAAUACCGGUGGCGAAGGCGGCCCCCUGGACGAAGACUGACGCUCAGGUGCGAAAGCGUGGGGAGCAAACAGGAUUAGAUACCCUGGUAGUCCACGCCGUAAACGAUGUCGACUUGGAGGUUGUGCCCUUGAGGUGUGGCUUCCGGAGCUAACGCGUUAAGUCGACCGCCUGGGGAGUACGACCGCAAGGUUAAAACUCAAAUGAAUUGACGGGGGCCCGCACAAGCGGUGGAGCAUGUGGUUUAAUUCGAUGCAACGCGAAGAACCUUACCUGGUCUUGACAUCCACGGAAGUUUUCAGAGAUGAGAAUGUGCCUUCGGGAACCGUGAGACAGGUGCUGCAUGGCUGUCGUCAGCUCGUGUUGUGAAAUGUUGGGUUAAGUCCCGCAACGAGCGCAACCCUUAUCCUUUGUUGCCAGCGGUCCGGCCGGGAACUCAAAGGAGACUGCCAGUGAUAAACUGGAGGAAGGUGGGGAUGACGUCAAGUCAUCAUGGCCCUUACGACCAGGGCUACACACGUGCUACAAUGGCGCAUACAAAGAGAAGCGACCUCGCGAGAGCAAGCGGACCUCAUAAAGUGCGUCGUAGUCCGGAUUGGAGUCUGCAACUCGACUCCAUGAAGUCGGAAUCGCUAGUAAUCGUGGAUCAGAAUGCCACGGUGAAUACGUUCCCGGGCCUUGUACACACCGCCCGUCACACCAUGGGAGUGGGUUGCAAAAGAAGUAGGUAGCUUAACCUUCGGGAGGGCGCUUACCACUUUGUGAUUCAUGACUGGGGUGAAGUCGUAACAAGGUAACCGUAGGGGAACCUGCGGUUGGAUCACCUCCUUACCUUAAAGAAGC